rnacentral:rRNA from 1 species
ACGGGGCGCAGCAGGCGCGAAAACUUUGCAAUGCACGAAAGUGUGACAAGGGAACUCCAAGUGCUUAUACAAUGUAUAGGCUUUUGCUAAAUGUAAAUAGUUUGGCGAAUAAGUGGUGGGUAAGACGGGUGCCAGCAGCCGCGGUAACACCUGCGCCACGAGUGGCAGCCGAUAUUAUUUGGCCUAAAGCGUCCGUAGCUGGUUUGGAAAAUCUCUUGUGAAAGUGUCAGGCUCAACCUGACGAAUGGCAGGAGACACUCCCAAACUCGGAACCGGUAGGAGUCAGAAGUAUGCUAGGGGUAACGGUAAAAUGUUAUAAUCCCUAGUAGACUACCUGUGGCGAAGGCGUCUGACUAGGACGGAUUCGACAGUGAGGGACGAAAGCUAGGGGAGCGAUCCGGAUUAGAUACCCGAGUAGUCCUAGCUGUAAACACUGCGAGCAAGGUGUUGCAUAUUCCUCGGGAAUGUGCAGUAUCGAAGAGAAGUCGUUAAGCUCGCCGCCUGGGAAGUAUGGUCGCAAGACUGAAACUUAAAGGAAUUGGCGGGGGAGCAC